GUGAGUAACGCGUGAGAAUCUACCUUCAGGAUGGGGACAACCGUUGGAAACGACGGCUAAUCCCCAAUAGGCCGCAAGGUGAAAGGGAUUCCGCCUGAAGAGGAGCUCGCGUCCGAUUAGUUAGUUGGUGAGGUAAGAGCUUACCAAGGCAGCGAUCGGUAGCUGGUCUGAGAGGAUGAGCAGCCACACUGGGACUGAGACACGGCCCAGACUCCUACGGGAGGCAGCAGUGGGGAAUUUUCCGCAAUGGGCGCAAGCCUGACGGAGCAACGCCGCGUGUGGGAAGAAGGCUCUUGGGCUGUCAACCACUUUUCUCAGGGAAGAAGAUCUGACGGUACCUGAGGAAUCAGCCUCGGCUAACUCCGUGCCAGCAGCCGCGGUAAUACGGAGGAGGCAAGCGUUAUCCGGAAUUAUUGGGCGUAAAGCGUCCGCAGGGGGCACAUCAAGUCUGCUGUUAAAGGCUGGAGCUUAACUCCGGUAGAGCAGUGGAAACUGGUGUGCUAGAGGGCGACAGGGGUAGAGGGAAUUCCCAGUGUAGCGGUGAAAUGCGUAGAGAUUGGGAAGAACACCGGUGGCGAAAGCGCUCUACUGGGUCGCACCUGACCCUCAGGGACGAAAGCUAAGGUAGCGAAAGGGAUUAGAUACCCCUGUAGUCUUAGCCGUAAACGAUGGAUACUAGGCGUGGUUUGUAUCGACCCAAGCCGUGCCGAAGCUAACGCGUUAAGUAUCCCGCCUGGGGAGUACGCACGCAAGUGUGAAACUCAAAGGAAUUGACGGGGGCCC
rnacentral:rRNA from 1 species